GACGAACGCUGGCGGCGUGCUUAACACAUGCAAGUCGAACGGAAAGGCCUUUUCGGAGGUACUCGAGUGGCGAACGGGUGAGUAACACGUGGGUGAUCUGCCCUGCACUCUGGGAUAAGCCUGGGAAACUGGGUCUAAUACCGGAUAGGACCGCACUUUAGUGUGUGUGGUGGAAAGUUUUUUCGGUGUAGGAUGAGCCCGCGGCCUAUCAGCUUGUUGGUGGGGUAAUGGCCUACCAAGGCGGCGACGGGUAGCCGGACUGAGAGGUUGGUCGGCCACAUUGGGACUGGGAUACGGCCCAGACUCCUACGGGAGGCAGCAGUGGGGAAUAUUGCACAAUGGGCGCAAGCCUGAUGCAGCGACGCCGCGUGGGGGAUGACGGCCUUCGGGUUGUAAACUCCUUUCGCCAGGGACGAAGCGUUUUGUGACGGUACCUGGAGAAGAAGCACCGGCUGACUACGU
rnacentral:rRNA from 1 species